GAUGAACGCUGGCGGCGUGCUUAACACAUGCAAGUCGAACGGUGAACCAGGAGCUUGCUCUUGGGGAUCAGUGGCGAACGGGUGAGUAACACGUGAGCAAUCUGCCCCUGACUCUGGGAUAAGCGCUGGAAACGGCGUCUAAUACUGGAUACGAGCCGUGAAGGCAUCUUCAACGGUUGGAAAGAUUUUUCGGUCAGGGAUGAGCUCGCGGCCUAUCAGCUUGUUGGUGAGGUAAUGGCUCACCAAGGCGUCGACGGGUAGCCGGCCUGAGAGGGUGACCGGCCACACUGGGACUGAGACACGGCCCAGACUCCUACGGGAGGCAGCAGUGGGGAAUAUUGCACAAUGGGCGCAAGCCUGAUGCAGCAACGCCGCGUGAGGGAUGACGGCCUUCGGGUUGUAAACCUCUUUUAGCAGGGAAGAAGCGAAAGUGACGGUACCUGCAGAAAAAGCGCCGGCUAACUACGUGCCAGCAGCCGCGGUAAUACGUAGGGCGCAAGCGUUAUCCGGAAUUAUUGGGCGUAAAGAGCUCGUAGGCGGUUUGUCGCGUCUGCUGUGAAAUCCCGAGGCUCAACCUCGGGUCUGCAGUGGGUACGGGCAGACUAGAGUGCGGUAGGGGAGAUUGGAAUUCCUGGUGUAGCGGUGGAAUGCGCAGAUAUCAGGAGGAACACCGAUGGCGAAGGCAGAUCUCUGGGCCGUAACUGACGCUGAGGAGCGAAAGGGUGGGGAGCAAACAGGCUUAGAUACCCUGGUAGUCCACCCCGUAAACGUUGGGAACUAGUUGUGGGGUCCAUUCCACGGAUUCCGUGACGCAGCUAACGCAUUAAGUUCCCCGCCUGGGGAGUACGGCCGCAAGGCUAAAACUCAAAGGAAUUGACGGGGACCCGCACAAGCGGCGGAGCAUGCGGAUUAAUUCGAUGCAACGCGAAGAACCUUACCAAGGCUUGACAUACACGAGAACGCUGCAGAAAUGUAGAACUCUUUGGACACUCGUGAACAGGUGGUGCAUGGUUGUCGUCAGCUCGUGUCGUGAGAUGUUGGGUUAAGUCCCGCAACGAGCGCAACCCUCGUUCUAUGUUGCCAGCACGUAAUGGUGGGAACUCAUGGGAUACUGCCGGGGUCAACUCGGAGGAAGGUGGGGAUGACGUCAAAUCAUCAUGCCCCUUAUGUCUUGGGCUUCACGCAUGCUACAAUGGCCGGUACAAAGGGCUGCGAUACCGUAAGGUGGAGCGAAUCCCAAAAAGCCGGUCCCAGUUCGGAUUGAGGUCUGCAACUCGACCUCAUGAAGUCGGAGUCGCUAGUAAUCGCAGAUCAGCAACGCUGCGGUGAAUACGUUCCCGGGUCU
rnacentral:rRNA from 1 species